rnacentral:lncRNA from 1 species
AUAUGUUUGUUUCCUGUAUCAUUUCCAGGAUGCCAAAAAAAAAAAAAAAAUCAACUCUCUAGCCUUCACUUCAGGUCUUUCUCAUUAGUCCAGAAUUGUUCCCUUGUAAGCUAAUUGCUACACUGUCCCUGAAUACCACUAACUUUAUACAGUCACCAAGUCCUCUGCUACAAGGCCUUUCAAAGUCUGAAAUUAAAUGCUGCAGUUCUCAAUCUGGGCAAAGAAACUAAGAGUCAAUUAGUGAAGUGUUAUUCUAGCUGAGGCAGUCCUAGAAAACCAAGUAAACAAUCUAGCACCAUGACUGGUUAACACUGCUGCACUGACAUUUAGGGCUCCUGCACUUUUUAAUCAUUAAAAUUUGUGCAUCAGUCAUGAAAUCAAGCACAGUCAAAAAAUCAUGAUCUGUGGUUUUCUUUUUAAUUAUCUUUAGUCUUGUGAUCACACAUAAUUUUAAAAUUUGUGUAUAUCUCCGUUACUUUAAUCCUUUUAAGUUGGCAAAAGCACCAUUCCCAAUCACAAAUACAGUUCUACAGUUUUGUUUCUGAAUGGCUGUUUAAAGACAAUCCUAAAUUAUAACUUAGUUUGACUUAGAUUGUAAAGAAUUCAAGAGUGAAGUUUAACUUGCUACUAUUUUAAAAGCAUGUGACCUUAUAGAUCUGUAAGAUGUGAGAGGUGUUGAAUAAUCUUUAAUAUUACACAUAAACCACACUAAAAUGCCUUUCAAUAAGUAAAAGGAACCAUUUUAAAUACAGGGAAUUAUAAUUAGAUUGGCAUAGUUAAGGCCAAAACUAUAGACAUUGCUACCUUAUUUAUCUUCAACCCUUGCCUU